GGGCUCGUGGUCUAGCUGGUUAUGACGUCGCCCUUACACGGCGGAGGUCGCCGGUUCGAAUCCGGCCGGGCCCA
rnacentral:tRNA from 2 species